rnacentral:rRNA from 1 species
UACAGAGGUCUCAAGCGUUGUUCGGAUUCAUUGGGCGUAAAGGGUGCGUAGGCGGCGCGGUAAGUCGGGUGUGAAAUCUCGGGGCUUAACUCCGAAACUGCAUUCGAUACUGCCGUGCUUGAGGACUGGAGAGGAGACUGGAAUUUACGGUGUAGCGGUGAAAUGCGUAGAGAUCCGGAAGAACACCGGUGGCGAAGGCGGCCUGCUGGGGUCUGGCUGACGCUGAGGCGCGACAGCGUGGGGAGCAAACAGG